rnacentral:tRNA from 1 species
GUCGACAUGACAUAGUGGUUUGAGUGUUGGACUAUGACUCUGAAGAUCAGGGUUCGAUUUCCAGCUCAGCCA